UCCGCCUGGCGGUGGAGCUGCCUGCAUCACGAGCGCCGCCUCCGGGUUGAAGGCUGCCGGAGCUGCACUUGGGUGCCGUUUGGUUCAAGAAAUGUAACACAAAUGAUAAUUGUUUACGCUCGAUUACUGGCGGUAACAAAUUUGAAUAUGUUGGUAUCAAAUUUUAGUGUGGUAUAUAAUUACGGUUGAACUAAAACAAACAUGAUUUAACGUUAUCAGUUACCCAUUACGUUACAAAUAUGUGAACUUGGUUUCAGCCACUUUCAGCCAUGUGACGUUAGGAUCUCACGUCGAAGUUGGCGACCGCGUUCACGCCUUUCUACUCUAUCGCCGCGAUGUCGUGUAUACGCGGGCGCCUUCUUCUUGAGUGACUGGAACGGAA
rnacentral:lncRNA from 1 species